rnacentral:rRNA from 1 species
UACGUAGGGUGCGAGCGUUGUCCGGAAUUAUUGGGCGUAAAGAGCUCGUAGGCGGCUUGUCGCGUCGGAUGUGAAAGCCCGGGGCUUAACUCCGGGUCUGCAUUCGAUACGGGCAGGCUAGAGUUCGGUAGGGGAGAUCGGAAUUCCUGGUGUAGCGGUGAAAUGCGCAGAUAUCAGGAGGAACACCGGUGGCGAAGGCGGCAUCCUGGACCGAUACUGACGCUGAGGAGCGAAAGCCAGGGGAGCAAACGGG